rnacentral:misc_RNA from 1 species
GUAGGCCUGAUGGAUGUGGAGAAGGGAUGCUUAGUGCUUAGUUGAGAAUUAGAGACUGGGCUGGUUGCCACUGGAUUUCUUGAGACAUCUAAAUUAGCAUCACAACUGUUCUCACUUGCGUUGCUCCAAGAACCCUGAUCAGUUUCUUUCUUUGGGUUAGCUUCAAUACAAUUUGACUCUCUACCUCUUAGAGCCAUUAACUCUGCAUG